UGCUGGGUCAUAUGGUAAUUCUAUACUUGAUUUUUUGAGGAAAUGCCAUACUAUUUUCCACAGAUGUACCAUUUACAUUUUUACCAAUAGCACACAAAGUUUCCCUUUCUUUACAUCCUCAUCAACACUUAUUUCCUUUCUUGUUUGUUUGUUAGUAUCCAUCCUAAUGGAUGUGAGGUGGUAUCUCAUUGUAGUUUUUAUUUGCAUUUCCCUGCUCAUCGGUGGUAUGAGCCACUCUCACAAUCUGUCUUUUGAUUAGUUCUUUUAGACCACUGACAUUCAAAAGUGGUUACUGGUAUAGUUGUAUUCAUAUGUACCAUAUUUGUUACUGUUUCCUACUUAUUGCCCUUCUUCUUUAUUCCUAUUUUUUAUAUUCCAUUCUUCUACCUUUCAUGAUUUUAACUGAGCAUUUUAUAUGAUUCCAGUUUCUCUCCUUUCCCAGCAUAAAGAAAAAUCUUUUUUUUAGUUUUUUAGUGGUUGCCCUAGAGUUUGCAAUAUACAUUUACAACUAAUCCAGGUCCAUUUUCUUUUUUAAAGAUUUUGGCUAGUUUUAUUUUUAGUUAUACUGGGUCUUCAUUGCUGGGUGUGGGCUUUCUCUAGUUGUGGUGGGAGGGGCCUAGUCUUCAUGCACUGCCCUGGCUUCUCAUUGUAGUGGCCUCUCUCGUUGUGGAGCACAGGCUCUAGUUGCAAGGGCUUCAGUAGUUGCAGCAUUCGGGCUCAGCAGUUGUGGUGAAUGGAUUUAGUUGCUCCGUGGCAUGUGGAAUCUUCCUGGACCAAGGAUUGAACCCAUGUCCCCUGCAUUAGCAGUCAGAUUCUUCUCCAAUGUUCCACCAGGGAAGUCCAGGUCCACUUUCUAAUAACACUAUACAACCUCAUGGGUAAUGCGUUUUUCUUUUUUUUUUUUAGUAUUUUUUUAUUUGGCUGUGCCAGGUCUUAGUUGCAGCAUUCGGGAUCUUCAAUCUUCCUUGAAGACCAUGUGGUGUCUAGUUCCCUGACUAAGGAUCGGAACCCGGGCCCCCUGCCUUAGGAGCCUGGAAUCUUAACUGUUGGACCACCAGGAAGUCUCGUUCAGUCGCUCAGUCAUGUCUGACUCUUUGCGACCCCAUGGACUGCAGCGCGCCAGGCUUCCCUGUCCAUCACCAACGCCCGGAGCUUGCUCAAACUGAUGUCCAUUGAGUCAGUGAUGCCAUGGCCAUGCGCACUGAACUGCUAGCAACUCAUCAACUACCCUUCAGGCUUCCCUACCUGCAUGGGCUCCCACGGAGGUUCCAGCUCGUGGGUUUCUGCUCAGGUAGAUCUGAUUCUCUGUAUUCACCUGUCUGUCUCUCCAACCUGGGGUGCGGCAGUUUGCUGCUCUCACUUCUGCGACCUCACUGUCACAGGUCCCUGGCCCUCUGCGACCUUCCGUCACUUGCUGUGACCUCACUUCUUUUACACAUCUAAGAAGAGUUGCUGACUUCUCAGUUUUCUCAGCCUUCUAUUUGCUGUUAGGACAGACUAGCAACUUCCCAAAAGACCAUGAUCUUUUAUACACGUGAUCUUAUCCUCCAUUACAGGAUGUUCUGCAUUCACUUCUGUGGGGCUCCUGCACUAAGACUGAUCACAUUUAGUUAGUAAAGGAUUAACCGAAUUGGGGAUACAUUUCAGUUUUAUGAAUAUUCUAUCUACUUUUGUUGCAUCCUUGUUUCUUAGGCAGGAGCAUUCUGGGCUCUCAUUUCUCUUUAUUAUUUUUAUUUUUAAAGACUUAAUUAAAAAAAAAACUUUA